AUUGAACGCUGGCGGCAUGCCUUACACAUGCAAGUCGAACGGUAACAGGUCUUCGGAUGCUGACGAGUGGCGAACGGGUGAGUAAUACAUCGGAACGUGCCCGAUCGUGGGGGAUAACGGAGCGAAAGCUUUGCUAAUACCGCAUACGAUCUACGGAUGAAAGCAGGGGACCGCAAGGCCUUGCGCGAACGGAGCGGCCGAUGGUAGAUUAGGUAGUUGGUGGGAUAAAAGCUUACCAAGCCGACGAUCUGUAGCUGGUCUGAGAGGACGACCAGCCACACUGGGACUGAGACACGGCCCAGACUCCUACGGGAGGCAGCAGUGGGGAAUUUUGGACAAUGGGCGCAAGCCUGAUCCAGCAAUGCCGCGUGCAGGAUGAAGGCCUUCGGGUUGUAAACUGCUUUUGUACGGAACGAAAAGGCUCUGGUUAAUACCUGGGGCUCAUGACGGUACCGUAAGAAUAAGCACCGGCUAACUACGUGCCAGCCGCCGCUGUAAUAC
rnacentral:rRNA from 1 species